AGUGAACGCUGGCGGUAGGCCUAACACAUGCAAGUCGAACGGCAGCACAGUAAGAGCUUGCUCUUACGGGUGGCGAGUGGCGGACGGGUGAGGAAUACAGCGGAAUCUACUUUUUCGUGGGGGAUAACGUAGGGAAACUUACGCUAAUACCGCAUACGACCUACGGGUGAAAGCAGGGGAUCUUCGGACCUUGCGCGUAUGAAUGAGCCGAUGUCGGAUUAGCUAGUUGGCGGGGUAAAGGCCCACCAAGGCGACGAUCCGUAGCUGGUCUGAGAGGAUGAUCAGCCACACUGGAACUGAGACACGGCCCAGACUCCUACGGGAGGCAGCAGUGGGGAAUAUUGGACAAUGGGCGCAAGCCUGAUCCAGCCAUACCGCGUGGGUGAAGAAGGCCUUCGGGUUGUAAAGCCCUUUUGUUGGGAAAGAAAAGCAGCAGGUUAAUACCCCGCUGUUCUGACGGUACCCAAAGAAUAAGCACCGGCUAACUUCGUG
rnacentral:rRNA from 1 species